ACUCCUUCACUGCAGAGUAAGAUACUGUAAAUAAGUCAAAUGCAGAGACAUAGUUUCCUCCUCUCUUCCGAAGUCAACAUGAAUGACUACACUUAAAUAUUUAUCUAACGCGUAUUUUCAGUCGAACCAGGAAAUAAUAAGUAAAGGAGCUGAAAGGUCCAAACGGAAAGAAAACACAGGCUUUGUGAACGUCCUGCUAGAAACGGCCUUUUCCUGCCUCCUUUUCUCAACUCGUGUCCAGGACAGACUUGGUUUAGGAUGAAGGGAUAUAUUUGUUCAGAAUGAGCGGAUUUAUUUAUAAGCUUUCCACACUUUAAAUCAAAGUUGUUCAUGUCUGGAAACCAGCUGGUGAUUCAAACCGUCUCUGCAGAGGACAGCAGGCUGUGCUACUGUGGGAUGAAGCAGAACGAUCAGAUGGUUUACAAAGAAAAAAACCUUCAGCCUAUCAGCUCAGUGCUGCUUUACUGGGCGAGGAAGAGGAGGGUCCAGGAGGAAGAAGCUCCUCCAGUCUGCCCAGCGAGGAUCUGAACCGGUCCCAUCAACGUCGUUUUCUUCCGUUUGAAACAAGGCCUCUCUGAAGAAAAGCAGCGACGACCAGGUCCAUCAGGGUUUAUCGGUCAGCAGAAACCUCGGCCUUCCUGACUCGUUAGAUCGCUAUAAAACCGUCGCAGUGAAGACGUACAACUUGCUCUGUUUUACCGUGUCUGGAACAGAAUAAUCUAGUGUCUAGAUAGUGACUGACAUUUGCGUUUCAAUUAUGUGAUUGAAGUGUUUUCGAAACAUUUAGGAUUGAAGAUUAAAAACUUUAAACAUUGUUUGUGUGUAAAUCUGUUCCACCAGAAAUCCUCCAGUUCAGUUGUAGCUUCACCUGAUUGACAUCCUGUAAAAACUUCAUUUCAAUCACCUUCAGCAUCCAGUUCUGAACCAGUGAAUCUAUAUAUUGAUCAGGAUCGAUACAGAUCAUCCACACUCUGUAUGGAUGUUCAGUCCAGCAGAAGGUGUUGAGCUUUUCAGAUAUUUCAGUUGCAGAUUCAUCCUUUGCUCUACAUGAUCAAACGUUCACUAAAGUAACACUGUUAUAGUUUUAGAGACUUUUUGUCUUUUUUUAAAAAGGAAUAAAAUGAUGUUUAUAAUCUUGUAUUUGUGAUAAUGUAUGAAAUCAUCUCCAGUAGCUCACGAACUGCAGAAAGUUUCAGUUUUAGAAGAUUUGGUUGUUUUGAAAUGUUAUUUGAAGACGCUGCAGGUGCAGCUUCUGUCCACUAGACGGCGACAUUCCGCAACCUGCUGGGGACAGUUGAUGAUUUUAUUGUCUAAAUUUAGUUUUAUUUAUAUAAUUUAAGGUCAAUUAUUAUGUUUGUGAGAAGCGCUUUAUUAAUAAGCUGUAUGUAUUUAUAUUUAUGUAAAAGUGACACAUUUAGGCAAAAGGUUUUUUAUAUUUCCGUUGUCUUUGCACCAAAAAAGGUUAAAAUGACCAAAGUCCCCAGAAAAUGAUGCGAAUGGACCCAAAAGCAGAAAAGUGCAGCACAAUCAUCAUAGUAAAAAUGACAAGAAGAGACCGAAAGUGAACGAAUCAUCCGGAGGAGGUGAUCAGCGCUGAUUGGAGUCACCUGUGGGGAACCGGAUAAAAAGGAACGGGAUGAGCCGGAGGCGUUUAGUUGAGCUCUGGAUCAGGUUCGGUUCGGUGGGUCUCCAGGUUGUGCUCCAGAGUUUUUCAGCGUCGUGUCCAUCUGUGAGUCCACGGGUGGGUUUCAUCUGCACCCGAGCGGCUCCUUAAAACUUCAUCUGGCGUUUGGAGCAGCGAUAGUAAAGGCUGUUUUCAGAGCAGCUUCUUUGUUGGCUUCCAGUCCGCCGCAGACAGCAGGUGAAACUGAUUGUGACCGAUUCCUGAUUCAUGGUCAAACACAGAUCUCCGUGGACCCACAGCCUCCUGGUUCGGUUCUGUGAGGUCCACCAUGUCGGACGAGCUGACAGCAGCUGAUUUAGAUUGUAGUGUUUGUGGUUCUGUUCCUGGAGGAAUGAACAGCUGCUGACAGAGCCUGGAGGUGAACUUUGACCUGAAGCUGCCCUGGUUCAUUGUCUAUGCUGAAUACCAACUGAGCCAGAUGUAGAGCCUUGUUUCCAUGGUUACAGGCAUGGCCUGCUUAUUGAGCCUGGAGGUGAACUUUGACCUGAAGCUGCCCUGGUUCAUUGUCCUCCUCAAUACAAGUAAAAUGUUUAAUCAGUGAAAGUUUGUCUCCUCCAGCUUUAUUUCUGCAGAUUUUCUUUGCUGAUUACCAAUUGAGCCAGAUGUCCAACAGGUGUGGAGCCUUGUUUCCAUGAAAUGUUUCCAGCCAUCAUGAUCUGUACUGAAAUGUUUUGCAUCUUGUGUUCAAUACAUGUGAUUGUUGCUACUUUUGAGUAGCAACAAUCACAUGUAUUGAGUUUUUUGUUUAAAUAAAAAGUAAAAACCCUGCUUGUUUCAUGUGCCUUUUCCUCUUUUAGACCCUUGAAAAGUUAAAGUUAAAGUUAAAGUUAAAGUUAAAGUUAAAGUUAAAGUUAAAGUUAAAGUUAAAGUUAAAGUUAAAGUUA